rnacentral:tmRNA from 1 species
GCCGGCUUGCCGGCUAUGGCGAUAAACGGCCCGUGCAAUAAGCGGUUCGGACCCGGGGGCGGUACCCGGCGGCUCCACCAGAGGUCCUUGAGGAAGGGCUUGCGGCGGGGCCGAAAUAGGCUCGACGGACGUGUAAAGACGACGCUUUCACCCGGAUGGUCUCCGUUAUUGGACCAAAAACGAUAGUUGCCAACGACAACUACUCGGACGAGUUCGCUCUUGCUGCGUAAGCGGCUGAGUUAACUCACGCCUUCAAGUCCUGAUCCCUAUCCAGGGUCAGGCGGGGCCCCCCGGCGCCUGGCAACAGAA